rnacentral:lncRNA from 1 species
GGCGGCACCUUCCGCGCCUUCUCCAACGCCAGCUUCCACCACCUCCGCCGGAGGAUCCAAGAGGUCCGCCCUUCCGCUCCAUCGCCACCUGCCAUUCUCACAUACAAUUUCAUUUCGUGAGCUCACCAGUUCAUCACCACCUCAUCUGGCACGGGCAGGUGAUCGAGGAGCAGACGAGAGUGUACAGGUGCGCGGUGGAGGUGGACUUCUUCGAGGACCAGCAGUUCUACCCGCCGACGGUCAACGACGAGGCGAUGGCGGCGCUGGUGAAGGAGGUGGCCGUUGACCUGCUGGGGCGGGAGAGGUACUGGGAAGUGCUGCCGAGAAUGGGGGCUGAGGACUUCGCCU